rnacentral:lncRNA from 1 species
UUUAACUCCUACUUUUUAUACUCGAGUUUUAACAGUUAAUAACUUUUAUUAAAUUUUAUGAUUAAUUAGCUACUAGCAGUUAGUUAAUUUCAAUUUUAUUUCCUAUAACAUAACAUAGUUUAAACUAGUGAAUUUGAUAGGAUUAUAAAUCAGCUUGUUAAAAUUAUCAAUUUAUUUGGCCACAAUCAGUUGAUGCCCAUCAAAAUUUGUAAGUCUAUGGAACUUCAAGCUAUUUUAAAGCGGCCAAUAGGUCCCUCAACAUUGAAACGAUAGAAAAGUAGUACUACAAAGAGUCAAAAUUGCACCUUCAAGGAAAAUGCGCCUAAACAUAAUCUAAACCACCAUUCCUCUUUAAUACUAGGCCUCGUCACAUGCGAACUGGGUCCAGCUAUUACGCAGGACAGAGCCAACUGAUACUGUUAGUAGGUAUCCGUAGCCAACACGCUUUGCCAGAUUAGGAAUAGUUCACAAAAUCUUACGUGACUUCAUAUUUGCCGUGAUUUGGUAGUUAGUUGUAUCUCCCAGUCUGGUGGGCCGUGACAGCAACUUAGUUCGAUUAGGGUUAGGGUUUUAAUUAUAAUGAUGAUAAGGUUGGCAUGGUCGAUGGUUUUGAGUCCUUAGUUUCCAUUGUUACGAAACCCAAGUCGACAACCCAAGAUACUAAUCAACCCUACUAAGGAGCAGUUUAGUUGUAUAUAGUUGUAAUUACACCGUAAUUCUAAUUGCAUACAAAUAUAAAUUUGAUGUUUGUUUGUUAUAUUUAACUCCAACUGCUGCAGUAAUAACUACUAACUGCAGGAGGAGGUCCAACCACAGCAAUUUGAACUACGCUCAAAUUAUCCGUAGUUUCAACUACAAAAGCUAGAGAGAGUAACUUUAAGUAAAAGGUAAGCUUGCCUUCCUAAUUAACUUUUAAACAAAACAUAUAUAUAGAGUGAGGCUACUAUGCUAUCGAAAGCACGGAGCCUUCCGUGCUUCCACCUCGUUUUCAAUGUUGUGACUUUCGAAUCUUCGAUCGGCUCCGUUAAACUUGAUCUAGAGUAUUUGAAGUACCUAGAAAAUAAAUUUUAUGAUUUUACGAUAUCAUUUGCCUAGUGAACGAAGGAGCUCAAAAUCAACGGCUGAAAAUAAAAAUCUUACAAAAUAUAAUAAUAUGACAUUAAAAUUUUAAAUCAAAGAUAUUGAUCUUGUUUUAUAUAGUAUAAAGAAUUUUCCAUCAAAAUUUCACGUGAUUUGGAUAUUUCUACACCGUUAAACUUGCAAACGGCUCACUACGGCCAUCGAAAUUUGUUGAUUUUGAGCCCAUUCGAUCACUAGGCAAAUGAUAUCGAAAAAUAAUAAAAUUUAUUUUCUANGGCUCCGUUAGACUUGAUCUAGCGUAUUUGAAGUUUCUAGAAAAUAAUUUUUGUGAUUUUUUGAUAUCAUUUACCUAACAAUCGAAAGAUUCAAAAUCAAUAAUUUUUAACGGUUGAAAAUAAAAAUCCUAUAAAAAGUGGUGAUAUAGCACUAAAAUUUUCGAUCAAAAAUAUUGAUCUUGCUGUAAAUAGUAUAAAGAAUUUUGUAUCAAAAUUUCAUCUGAUUUGAAUACUUUUAUAUCGUUAAACUUGAAAACGACAGAUAUCAACCAUUAAAAAUUAUUAAUUUUGAAUCAUUUCGAUUGCUAGGUAAAUGAUAUCGAAAAAUCGCAAAAAUUAUUUUCUAGAAACUUCGAAUACGCUAGAUCAAGUCUAAUGGAGCCGAUCGUCGAUUCGAAAAUUUCAUUAUCGAAAACGGCUCAAGAGUACGAAGGCCUUCGUGCUCCUGAGAGCACAGUAGCCCUGCUCAUAUAUAUAUAUAUAUAUAUAUAUUAACAUUGGAGGUAAUCUUACCAUCAUAUAUAUAAAAUGAUAAAAUUUAAAAAAUUAUUUUUCAAUUGCAUGCAACCAAAAAAUCAUUUAUAGUUGCAGCGUUUUCUACUACAUCCAACCAAGCAGUUUGCAUGUAGUUAUAAUUACUAUAUUUUCAACUGCAUGCAUAUUCAAUUAUGCUGCAUUGAUAAUUACAUUUAACCAAAUGGUCUGUAAAUAGUGAUAAAAUUAUUUUCCUUUUAUUCAGUGGUCCGGUUUAUAGACCAGGUCCAUUGAAGUAUUGUUCGUAAACCGGGGUCCAUCCGUGAGUUGGCACCACCAAAACAAAUAAUUAACAACUCACAAAUCUCUGUAGUUUACAGCUAAUCCCCCCAUUUGAUUAUAAACACUUUGCUAAUUAUAUAACGGGAGAUGGGACGAGCGAAGAUACGAUUUAUUUCUCUCUCUCUCUCUCUCUCUCUCUCUCUCUCUCUCUCUCUCUUCCCCUUCUAUUUUGUUAUUUAAUGCUAUAAUGAUGUGGCAGUUAAUAGCCAUAACAGUGUUUUAAUCUGUUUUUGUACUCGUUUUAUAAUUAAUUUUAUGAUACCGUAUGAAACAGUUUGGCAUCCUGGGCUGCUUUAAAUAACUGAUGUUUUUUCUUUUUAUUUUUUAAGAGAGAGAAAAAUAAUAUGUUAUUUGUUUUGUUUAUUUUUGUUGAAUUAAACUUAGCUACAAAUAUAAAGCAACUUGAUUUCUUAAAUACCAAUCUUCAAGCUUUUCACCAUUUUGAAAAGUUCAAAAUUAGAGAGCAAUGUUGGAGAAGGAGAGUUUAUUGAAAUGGCAAGGUCAGUAGAAUCAGAUUAAGUUAAAUAAUCUUGCUUGAAAUUUGAUAAUCCCAUUGAGACUUUGAGAGAUAUAGAUUCUAAAAAGUUUUAUUGUAUCUUAUAGGGCCUAUCUCUUAACCCAUCACAUUAUGUAAGUUGUUUUUUUUUUUUAGAAAUAAACUUAGUUAGAAAUGUGAAUAAAUUAGGAUUCGAACUUGGGUCUCGGAUAUCAACCACUAAAUCCUUUGCCACUUGCUCUAGGGACAGUCGGUCAUUCUGCAAGUUGUUAAAACCUCUUUAGAUCUGUCAAAUUCAAUCUUAAGUACUAAGCAGAUCCUUUAUCCAUUUGUUCGAUCGUUCCAAUCAACUUAUGCUUUUUUAAAAAUGAUUUUCUUUUCCUAAUCUUUAUUUUUUUUCUUUAUUUUUAGUUGCUUAUGAGCCUCACUACCUUGUAGAAACACCUAAAAAAAAAAAAAAAAAAUAUAUCACAUUUCUGCGCCUCGAGGAUCAAAUUCAAAAUUUAUUGCUUAUGAAAUACCCUAUCUAAGUUAAGCUGGUUUGGUAAUUCAUUAUCUGCCUGAAAUUUCACGCUCUCUCCUCGACAUGAUAGAUCCAAAUUCCUGUGCAAUGCACGUGUGGCCAGUAGUCCAGUAUUAACAAAAGAUAUGAACACCUACAUACAAUAUCUUUCCCUUCUUAGGAUGAUGGCUCCGUUUUUGCACCGUGCCAUGUUUAUUAAAAUAAAAUAAUGGCAAAUGCACAUGCGUUGUUUUAAGCAAGUUAUAAGGUGGGGCACUAGGUAUGUGCUUGUGAACUUCAAUUCUCCCUAUUUAUAUUUUCGCUAAAUUAUAUUUUUUUGAUUCUAAAACUAUGCAGUAAAUAAGAUUUUCGUCCUUAAAUUUUAAUUUAUAAUUUUUUACUUAAAUUUUUUAGAGUAUUCCAAUUUAGUUGCUGUGAUAUAACUGAUAUUUUAAAUACAAGCCUGUCAUAUCAAUAUCACAUCAACGAUAAAUUACUAUUUAAUCAAUUUGAUUGGACGAUAUUAUUUAUUUAUAAUAAUUUAAAAAUUAUAAUAAAUUUAAAUUCAAGGACCAUAAUAUCUCGUGUUUUAUAGUUUGAGGACCAAAAGUGAAAUUCACCCUUACAUUAAUUAAUGGCUAUUGUCCUUGCUUCACGUAAUUAUGCACAAGAUUUUAUUGUUGAUUGAAGCAACCAAGAUCUAGAAAUAUGCAUUAUAUUAUAUCUUAUGCAGGGUGAAUACACAUCACAAAUCUUUGAAUAUGCCAUUAUAAAUGGAAAUCAAAAUUUGUUUACUUCUACCAAGAAUUAUGUAUGCUGUAAUUAACUUAUUCCUCGUAUUUAUCAUUAUUAAAUAUGAGUAUUUUAAAAAUAAAUUUUUUUUUUUACUUCUUGUAUUGCUUUCAUAACAUGAUGUCCCUAUAAUUGCACGGAAAGAAAAAUAAAUAACAAAAGUUUCAACAUACGCUANGGUACUUCAAAUACUCUAGAUCAAGUUUAACGGAGCCGAUCGACGAUUCGAAAGUCGCAACAUCGAAAACGAGCUAGAAGCACGGAAGGCUCCGUGCUUCCGAUAGCAUAGUAGCCUCACUCUAUAUAUAUAUGUUAACAUUGGAGGUAAUCUUACCAUCAUAUAUAUAAAAUGAUAAAAUUUAAAAAAUUAUUUUUCAAUUGCAUGCAACCAAAAAAUCAUUUAUAGUUGCAGCGUUUUCUACUACAUCCAACAAAACAGUUUGCAUGUAGUUAUAAUAACUGUAUUUUCAACUGCAUGCAUAUUCAAUUAUGCUGCAUUGAUAAUUACAUUUAAUCAAAUGGUCUGUAAAUAGUG